rnacentral:rRNA from 1 species
AACGAACGCUGGCGGCAUGCCUAACACAUGCAAGUCGAACGAGACCUUCGGGUCUAGUGGCGCACGGGUGCGUAACGCGUGGGAACCUGCCCUUAGGUUCGGAAUAACUCCCCGAAAGGGGUGCUAAUACCGGAUAAUGUCUUCGGACCAAAGAUUUAUCGCCUUUGGAUGGGCCCGCGUUGGAUUAGCUAGUUGGUAGGGUAAAAGCCUACCAAGGCGACGAUCCAUAGCUGGUCUGAGAGGAUGAUCAGCCACACUGGGACUGAGACACGGCCCAGACUCCUACGGGAGGCAGCAGUGGGGAAUAUUGGACAAGGGGCGAAAGCCUGAUCCAGCAAUGCCGCGUGAGUGAAGAAGGCCUUAGGGUUGUAAAGCUCUUUUACCCGGGAUGAUAAUGACAGUACCGGGAGAAUAAGCGCCGGCUAACUCCGUG